UUACAAAAAAACUUACAGGAACGAUAGGUUGAAGAGGACCUAUAGCAGGUGGGGUAUAAAACCCAUUAGGACAGGAAAUAGCAAUCAAAUAAGGUGGGAGUGAAGAAGAGCUGGAGGAGAGAGUAGAGUGUUGCCCUUAGGAGAGAGCAAGAGACAGGUAUGUGAGGUAGAGGUUACUCUGGGAGGCCAUAAACUUUCCUAAAUAGAUGGGUUUUAAGGCACUUUUUAAAUGAUUGAAGACUAGGAGUCUGAUUGGGGUAGGCAGGCUAUUCCAU